UACAGGCUUUAUCGAAGCUAUGCUAUGGUCCCUCGUACUUCAGUGUAGUCAAAAGUAAGCCAAGAUAAAACUCUUUCCCCACGGUCGCUUUGAAUAUGUCUUUCGACUGUUGUUCAUGGCAUUACCAAGGGAAAGUACACAU